rnacentral:lncRNA from 10 species
UGGAACCUUGGGAAGUUGUUUCUGCUUUCUCUUUUGUAAGAAGGAACACGAUUUGCCUUGCUCAUCUCAGGAGGCGCUUGAAUGAAGCAAAUGAAUUGAUGUGAAGGAAAACACUCUGCAAGUUAGGAAAUGGUCCUCAAAAGUAGGGAAGACUCCAGCCACAGCAGUGAGCCCUGGCCGAAAGCUGGGGUGACAUCUCCUGCUUCUAUGCCGGCCCCUCCAGCUUCAGGCUGCACAGCUGGGCUUCCCUUCACAGUGUCCUGUCAGGAUGAAUGGGACUGCACGUGAUGGAGAAGCUUCCAGACUCAAGCUGACUCUUGGUGAUAGUACGUUUAAGGUGCUUUUCUCCUUUCACUUCUUGAGGAUAGCUGCUGAGCAGUCCAGGAUGGAAGGAGGAUUUGUGCUUUUGCCUAUACGUGUCCCUGGGCGUUUCUUCAUUCGCUGUCCUCUUUUAGGAGCUGUACUUGCAGUGGUGGAGCUGGAAGCCUUCUCUAAGGGCAGUGAAGCCGCACACUUAGAGUUUUCAGGUGGGCCGCAUUGACUUAGAUGCAGGUGAGGCCUCUGUGAUGCCCUGAGCCAGCCCAGCUCCAUGCCGGUGCCAGCCAGGCCCGGCCUCGGUUUCGCUCUGCAACAAUGGGAAGGUACCCUUUCCUCCUCAUGAUCCAAAAGUUGCUCUGAAGACGAUGUGACAAAUGUCACCGUGUGAGGGACCUCGUUUGUGACUCUUGUGUUCUAAGACCCACGUUGCUUUAUUGCCUAGAGGUUCCUGAAAGGAGUGCAAGAGCUGGCCUGUGCUUUGGUGGCUGAAGGAAGCUCUAAAGCUCUUCCAUGGAGGGCCCGUGUCAGCCACUCUCCCCUUCAGUUAAGUGACG